rnacentral:lncRNA from 1 species
UCUCAAAUCUCUUCUCCUCCCUCAUGUCGAUCUCUCUAUUUAAUCCAUCAACAUAUAGCAAGAAAACUUCAUGUGCCGUGUCGAUCUCUCAAUCCACCUCCUCCUUUGCCCUAUCAAGAGGGUUUUUGGUUCUCUCUAUCGGCUAUGUCUGAGAAUUUAUGGUAUCGUUUGAAAAAGUCUCACGAUCUGUUUAUACUCAGUUGUUCUAAAUCGUUGGCUUCGAACUAAGAAGCUUCUCCAAUCCACAAUUUCUGUAAAGGUACCCACUUCUCUUCUCAUCAAUUAAAUCCAUCGAAUAUACCAUAUAAUUUGUAAUUGAGUUUAGCUGAAGAACUAAGAAGCUUUUGCUCAAUAAGUACUUGAUAAAAGUCCUGACUGAAGAGCUUGAUAUGAUUUUAUUGCGA